UACGAAGGGGGCUAGCGUUGCUCGGAAUCACUGGGCGUAAAGCGCACGUAGGCGGCUUUUUAAGUCAGAGGUGAAAUCCUUGAGCUCAACUCCAGAACUGCCUUUGAUACUGAGAGGCUUGAGUCCGGGAGAGGUGAGUGGAACUGCGAGUGUAGAGGUGAAAUUCGUAGAUAUUCGCAAGAACACCAGUGGCGAAGGCGGCUCACUGGCCCGGUACGGAGGCUGAGGUGCGAAAGCGUGGGGAGCAAACAGG
rnacentral:rRNA from 1 species